AGUCUCAAUCGGUUACUUGUCGCAUCGGAGCGUGACAAUUUAACGAACGAAUCGAGUAUGCACAGAUAUACGAGAAAAAAAAUAUUUGUUCACACGUGAAAGAGGAGAUUAGUGAACAAGCGAUGAGGUUGAAGAAAUGAAUAAUAAUACACUCGAUCGAUGCGUAAUAAUUGAUGUUUCAAAAGUUGGGGAACAGCCAUUACGGCGAAAGUUCAAGACCAAAGUGAGCGCGCUCGAUUUACAAUCAUACUACGAGAAGUGACUUGUACAUAAAACUGAAUUUCAAAGUAAAUUCAAACUAAAAAAAAGUGUACACGAAAACUGUUCAUUUACAUGAUCAUUAAUUUUCUUGAAUAAUAUUGCCAAAAUAUUUUCAUCCAUAUGAGUAACUCAGUGACACUUUACGCGAAAACAUUCUGACCGUUUUCUUUUGUUACACAAAUUUCUGCACGGAAGGUAUAACAGCUUGAAGUAUUAAUCUACCGGAUUGAUUCAAUUCGGGAAAUAUUUCUAUCUAUGGAGUGACGAGUACGGUGAAACUGGUAUUUAGAACGCGGUUGGAAAUUAUCGGCCGUUAAUGAUAAUCCGGGAUAUAGAUAGACUGAGAGUGCGACUCAUACUCGGUGGUGAAAAUGAUUACGAAUGAAACUUACUCAGAGUGACGUUGAAGGGAAUGAGACGAGAUAAGGUGAUGGUGGUGCUGCUGUUGCUGCUGCAAGGCGGAACUCUGAUCCCUCUGAGAUCGUCUGAGGGCCAAGCUGGAAGUUUCGCUUAUGCUGCCUACGCUGGAUUCGGCGUCCCGUUCUCUCGAGGAGUGACCACCAUGGGCAAAUAUCAAGCCGGUUUCCAAGGUCCCUGAGCAGACCCUUUGAGUGGGAAUCCCGCUGGUACGCAGGCAGCAAGGCAACUUGGUGAGCCGGGAUCACGGAUGUUUGUGUUUCAUCUGUUCAGAAGUAAAAGGAAGACUGAGAGGAGGCCGGAGUUCCGCCUCUGCAGAGGCUACUCUUUGAAAAUCGUACAUCACGCAGACCAUUGAGAAGCGAGCGGCUGAGGAACGCUUUCAGGAUCCUCUUUCAAACCCUGAUUCACGGGGCGAUAAUUAAAUCCAUAUAUACACACUGCGUGCCGCGAGUUUGUCUACUACCACAUUCCAUUUUAUACGUUUAUAAGUACAGCAUGUUUUGAGCUUACGGGUUUGGGUCCUGGAGCAAGGUUGCCAGUGUCAGCGCGUUCACCCAUUGGUUCAUGCUCUCCCUCGAGUCUGCGGCGAAGAGGUAU
rnacentral:lncRNA from 1 species